GAAUAUUGGACAAUGGGGGGAACACUGAUCCAGCCAUGCCGCGUGUGUGAAGAAGGUCUUCGGAUUGUAAAGCACUUUAAGUUGGGAGGAAGAGUUGUAGGCUAAUACCUUGCAAUUUUGACGUUACCAACAGAAUAAGCACCGGCUAACUUCGUGCCAGCAGCCGCGGUAAUACGAAGGGUGCAAGCGUUAAUCGGAAUUACUGGGCGUAAAGCGCGCGUAGGUGGUUCGUUAAGUUGGAAGUGAAAGCCCCGGGCUUAACCUGGGAACUGCUUUCAAAACUGGCAAGCUAGAGUAUGGCAGAGGGUGGUGGAAUUUCCUGUGUAGCGGUGAAAUGCGUAGAUAUAGGAAGGAACACCAGUGGCGAAGGCGACUACCUGGACUGAUACUGACACUGAGGUGCGAAAGCGUGGGGAGCAAACAGG
rnacentral:rRNA from 1 species